UUAGGAAUCUUCGGCAAUGGGGGCAACCCUGACCGAGCGACACUGCGUGGAGGAUGAAGGUUUUCGGAUCGUAAACUCCUGAACGAGGGACGAAAAAUGACGGUACCUCGCUAAUAGCACCGGCUAACUCCGUGCCAGCAGCCGCGGUAGUACGGAGGGUGCGAGCGUUAUCCGGAAUCACUGGGCGUAAAGGGCGCGUAGGCGGUUUGUUAAGUCCGAUGUCAAAGCGUGAGGCUCAACCUCAUACAGGCGUUGGAUACUGGCGAGCUGGACGGUUGGAGAGGAAGGUAGAAUUACCAGUGUAGCGGUGGAAUGCGUAGAUACUGGUAGGAAUACCCAUUGCGAAGGCAGCCUUCUGGACAACACGUGACGCUGAGGCGCGAAAGUGUGGGGAGCAAA
rnacentral:rRNA from 1 species